rnacentral:lncRNA from 1 species
ACCACCACCACUAUAUUCAGGAAAAUCCAUAUUCUUUGCUCACACUUUUUCUCUAAUCCCAGCAUCCAUUGGAUUAGGAGAGUGAGUAGAAGGAUACAGCACCUUGACCUCAACACGUUAUUUACUUACUAACGGUGGUUCCUUUCAGAUUUUUAUCUCUGGAAGCUUGGCAGCACCAGACCUGUGACUCAUAUCCCACCUGUGAGAGAAGCCGUCCCUUCCCCUGUUUCUGUAAUCACCAUGAUUUGUUUUAGGCAGUAAAUAUCUGAUACAACACAGUUUGUAAUUCUCCCCCCACAAGUGAACUCGCACUCUGCAGGUUGCCUUAUCUCUUGCACGUACAGUUCUGCUUUGUCACAUUCUCAUUUUGAUCAUACAAACUUCACCUUUGAGAACUGACUUAGUGGAAGAGCAGCACUGCUGCUCACCGCUGGCAGCUGUGGAUCUCAGAAGGCACAGCUUUGCCUGGGCUGCAAGAGACAACACUGCAACCAUUGGUAGUGCUGUGUUAGAACCUUUUCCUUUGGCCUCUUCUGCCACAGCCCUCUCUGCUUUGCUACAAAUACUCCACAGCCCAUGGUCACCAUCACCACCGAACAGCACCUCAUGUCAGCCACUGAUGGUGCUUUCCCAAGCUGCAUUUCAGAUCUGCAGACACCACCUCGGCUCAGAGAACUGAUGACUCUGAACUUCCCUUGACAUCACCUUCUGCCCCAAGAAGCUCUGGCAGCGCAGGCAGGUUGGUACAGAGCUCAGUACACGAUACCUCCAUCUGCAGCAGAGGCCAUGCCCUUUCGCUCUUAUUUUUGCAGACAAGCACAAGGUUAAGCUUUUGGUGAGCAUCUGCUCAUGCAGCACUGUGCCUUAACUCAGACGCAUGAGCGAUGACACAGAGUUACUUUGGGCUCAGCUUUGUUCCCUUGCCUUGAAGGAAUGCCCUGCACAUGAAGACCUUCAAAACCAACAGCAAAGCUCUUCCAAUCCGAUUCUGGAAUUCAUUAACAGUUGAAAUGAGAAUAAUACUUAGCAAAUCCUUAAUGAUUUUGUGAUUCUAUGAAAUACUCUGUACGAAAGCCUCCUAGAAAAGCUGAGGGCUUAUACAACACCUGACAUAUUAAAGACUGCUCCAUGUCAGCUCUUGGAAAC